AACGAACGCUGGCGGCAUGCCUAACACAUGCCAGUCGAACGAGACCUUCGGGUCUAGUGGCGCACGGGUGCGUAACGCGUGGGAACCUGCCCUUAGGUUCGGAAUAACUCCCCGAAAGGGGUGCUAAUACCGGAUAAUUUCUUCGGACCAAAGAUUUAUCGCCUUUGGAUGGGCCCGCGUUGGAUUAGCUAGUUGGUAGGGUAAAAGCCUACCAAGGCGACGAUCCAUAGCUGGUCUGAGAGGAUGAUCAGCCACACUGGGACUGAGACACGGCCCAGACUCCUACGGGAGGCAGCAGGGGGGAAUAUUGGACAAUGGGCGAAAGCCGGAUCCAGCAAUGCCGCGUGAGUGAUGAAGGCCUUAGGGUUGUAAAGCUCUUUUACCCGGGAUGAUAAGGACAGUACCGGGAGAAUAAGCUCCGGCUAACUCCGU
rnacentral:rRNA from 1 species